rnacentral:rRNA from 1 species
AGAGAGAGACAUGCGCGCAUAUCAAUAAGCGGAGGAAAAGAAACUAACAAGGAUUCCCUUAGUAACGGCGAGUGAAGCGGGAAGAGCUCAAAUUUGAAAUCUUCAAGGUUUUACCUUGACGAAUUGUAGUUUAAAGAAGUGUUUUCUGCUGAAGUUUUGGUAAAAGUUCUUUGGAAUAGGACAUCAUAGAGGGUGAGAAUCCCGUAUUUGACCAUUAUUUUCAGCUUUGUGAUACACUUUCAAAGAGUCGGAUUGUUUGGGAAUGCAGUCCAAAAUGGGUGGUAAAUUUCAUCUAAAGCUAAAUAUUGGCGAGAGACCGAUAGCGUACAAGUACCGUGAGGGAAAGAUGAAAAGAACUUUGAAAAGAGAGUUAAACAGUACGUGAAAUUGUCAAAAGGGAAGCGUUUGACACCAGUGUUGUUUUCUCGAAAAUCAAUUAAAAAUGGCUCGAUUUUGUAUUGCUGAGACCUUAAAAGCUCACUGUACAUUUUUCGUGUCUUUUUUAAUGCACUUUUCGUUUAACAAGUCAACAUCAGUUUCUUUUGUUGUAAAAGGGUCAUUGGAAGGUGGCUUUCUUUUCGGGAGAAAGUGUUUAUAGCCUUUGGCCUCUGCAAUCGGAAGAGACUGAGGUCUGCAGCGUAGACUCUUCGGGGUUAGAUACAUUUGUGCUAAGUUAUAGCUUUUUAUAGACAACUUGUUGACUAUAAUUAGUCUUGUAGCUUACUCGCUUAUGCUAUUUUACCUACGCUUAGGAUGUUGAAGAUGUAGCACAUCAU